GACGAACGCUGGCGGCAUGCCUAAUACAUGCAAGUUGAACGAUGAUAUUCUCUGCUUGCCGCGAAUUGAAGAGUAGCGAACGGGUGAGUAACACGUGGGGAACCUGCCCAUGAGAGGGGGAUAACAUUCGGAAACGGAUGCUAAUACCGCAUAAUGCUUUGGACCGCCUGGUCCAGAGACGAAAGACGGCUUUUGCUGUCACUCAUGGAUGGCCCCGCGCCGUAUUAGCUAGUUGGUGAGGUAAUGGCUCACCAAAGCUGUGAUACGUAGCCGACCUGAGAGGGUGAUCGGCCACACUGGGACUGAGACACGGCCCAGACUCCUACGGGAGGCAGCAGUAGGGAAUCUUCCACAAUGGGCGAAAGCCUGAUGGAGCAAUGCCGCGUGAAUGAAGAAGGUCUUCGGAUCGUAAAGUUCUGUUAUUAGAGAAGAACAAGUCAAGGAGUAACUGUCUUGACUUUGACGGUACCUAACCAGAAAGUCACGGCUAACUACGUG
rnacentral:rRNA from 1 species